rnacentral:rRNA from 1 species
AUACGGAGGAUCCGAGCGUUAUCCGGAUUUAUUGGGUUUAAAGGGUGGGUAGGCGGAAAAAUAAGUCAGUUGUGAAAGUUUGCAGCUCAACUGUAAAAUUGCCGUUGAAACUGUUUUUCUUGAGUGUAAAUGAGGUAGGCGGAAUGUGUUGUGUAGCGGUGAAAUGCUUAGAUAUGACACAGAACACCGAUUGCGAAGGCAGCUUACUAAGAUACAACUGACGCUGAGGCACGAAAGCGUGGGGAUC